rnacentral:rRNA from 1 species
CGAACGGGUGAGUAACGCGUGAGGAACCUGCCUCAAAGAGGGGGACAACAGUUGGAAACGACUGCUAAUACCGCAUAAGCCCACGGCUCGGCAUCGAGCAGAGGGAAAAGGAGCAAUCCGCUUUGAGAUGGCCUCGCGUCCGAUUAGCUGGUUGGUGAGGUAACGGCCCACCAAGGCGACGAUCGGUAGCCGGACUGAGAGGUUGAACGGCCACAUUGGGACUGAGACACGGCCCAG